rnacentral:rRNA from 1 species
GAUGAACGCUGGCGGCGUGCCUAAUACAUGCAAGUCGAGCGAACAGAUGAGGAGCUUGCUCCUCUGACGUUAGCGGCGGACGGGUGAGUAACACGUGGAUAACCUACCUAUAAGACUGGGAUAACUUCGGGAAACCGGAGCUAAUACCGGAUAAUAUAUUGAACCGCAUAGUUCAAUAGUGAAAGACGGUUUUGCUGUCACUUAUAGAUGGAUCCGCGCCGCAUUAGCUAGUUGGUAAGGUAACGGCUUACCAAGGCAACGAUGCGUAGCCGACCUGAGAGGGCGAUCGGCCACACUGGAACUGAGACACGGUCCAGACUCCUACGGGAGGCAGCAGUAGGGAAUCUUCCGCAAUGGGCGAAAGCCUGACGGAGCAACGCCGCGUGAGUGAUGAAGGUCUUCGGAUCGUAAAACUCUGUUAUUAGGGAAGAACAAAUGUGUAAGUAACUAUGCACGUCUUGACGGUACCUAAUCAGAAAGCCACGGCUAACUACGUG